UAACCUAUAGAGAUUUGGUGAAAGACUCCAAUGUUGGCCAUAAAAUGUAUCAUUUAUUCAGAAGACAAAAUAUUUCAAUAGAGUAGUAAAAGUAAAGAAUAGAAAUAAUGUGAUUUUUUAUAAUAAUAUACAAAAACCAUUUAAAGUAAAUGAAAGAAUGAAGUGCAAGAAUAUUCCGGCUGAGUUCCAUCGUGAAAGAGUUGGCGUUGCAUCUAGUGCAGAUGCUCGAUUCACCCAUAACAAGAUCGAAGGUCAUCUCAUUUUACCGACAUUAAUGGUUUGGCGGUUGCAAUCCGUAAAUCGUUCCAAAACUGCAUUCUCUACACAAAUUGACGAAAUUAUACUGAUAAGAUGAAUGAACCACCGAAGAGCCUGAUUAUCAUUUGGAAAUUCCUAAUUAGCUUACGCAAUUUAUCAUGUUCAAUGAAUUAAACAUUUUUUAUCGUUUAUAAAGUUUAA
rnacentral:misc_RNA from 1 species